rnacentral:lncRNA from 1 species
GAUGCUUUUCAGGUCUUAGCGCACGCCUUGUUUUUUGAAUAGUUGAGGGAAAAUUAGUAUGAAAUCAUGCAGCCCUGGGGGGCCGGAUCCUAGGAACUUUUUGUUUGGUUUUAACGUCUUAUCCUUUCGAUGAAAAGUUGAGGCACCACAGAUGGAGACUGGGGAGAGCUGACUUUGGGAACAAUUCUUACCCUUUGCCAACUUCUGCCAGUUUCCCCAGGAUCCCCUCUGCCGGCUCUGGAGGAGUGGGGUGUCCCAGCGGGUCUCAUCCUGGUCACCAGACACCGUAGAGGAGGAAAAAUGGUUUUCUCUCUGCUGUUUGUGAUUAGCUGGCCUACAUGCAGUUCUAAGCGUUUUUCCAAAGCACAUUGUGAGAAGAAGACGGCGAGGGGAGCAUGUGGCCUUGGGGGCUGAAGUUCUAAGGAUCCUCUGCACAGGGGAGAACUCUACUCCUUGCUGUUCAUCAAGAAAUCAAGGCCCAGGGGCCCACCCCGUGGCCGAGUGGUCAAGUUUAUGCCCGCUGCUUCAGCGGCCCAGGGGUUCUCCCGUUCGUGAUCCUGGGCGUGGACAUGACACCGCUCAUCAGGCUGUGCUGAGGUGGCAUCAGCACAACCAGAAAGACCUACAACUAGAAUAUACAACUG